rnacentral:rRNA from 1 species
CCUACGGGUGGCAGCAGUGGGGAAUAUUGCACAAUGGGGGAAACCCUGAUGCAGCGACGCCGCGUGAAGGAAGAAGUAUUUCGGUAUGUAACCUUCUAUCAGCAGGGAAGAAAAUGACGGUACCUGACUAGGAAGCCCCGGCUAACUACGUGCCAGCAGCCGCGGUAAUACGUAGGUGGCAAGCGUUAUCCGGAUUUACUGGGUGUAAAGGGAGCGUAGGCGGUGCAGCAAGUCAGAAGUGAAAGCCCUGGGCUCAACUCCGGGACUGCUUUUGAAACUGUUGAACUAGAGUGCAGGAGAGGUAAGUGGAAUUCCUAGUGUAGCGGUGAAAUGCGUAGAUAUUAGGAGGAACACCAGUGGCGAAGGCGGCUUACUGGACUGUAAAUGACGCUGAGGCUCGAAAGCGUGGGGAGCAAACAGGAUUAGAUACCCCAGUAGUC